rnacentral:rRNA from 1 species
CCAGACUCCUACGGGAGGCAGCAGUGGGGAAUAUUGCACAAUGGGCGCAAGCCUGAUGCAGCCAUGCCGCGUGUAUGAAGAAGGCCUUCGGGUUGUAAAGUACUUUCAGUCGGGAGGAAGGUGGUAAGGUUAAUAACCUUAUCAAUUGACGUUACCGACAGAAGAAGCACCGGCUAACUCCGUGCCAGCAGCCGCGGUAAUACGGAGGGUGCAAGCGUUAAUCGGAAUUACUGGGCGUAAAGCGCACGCAGGCGGUUGAUUGAGUCGGAUGUGAAAUCCCCGGGCUCAACCUGGGAACUGCAUUCGAAACUGGCAGGCUGGAGUCUUGUAGAGGGGGGUAGAAUUCCAGGUGUAGCGGUGAAAUGCGUAGAGAUCUGGAGGAAUACCGGUGGCGAAGGCGGCCCCCUGGACAAAGACUGACGCUCAGGUGCGAAAGCGUGGGGAGCAAACAGGAUUAGAUACCCUUGUA